UACGUAGGGGGCGAGCGUUGUCCGGAAUCAUUGGGCGUAAAGCGCGUGUAGGCGGCUCGGUAAGUCUGCUGUGAAAGUCCAGGGCUCAACCCUGGAAUGCCGGUGGAUACUGUCGAGCUUGAGUCCGGAAGAGGCGAGUGGAAUUCCUGGUGUAGCGGUGAAAUGCGCAGAUAUCAGGAGGAACACCAAUGGCGAAGGCAGCUCGCUGGGACGUGACUGACGCUGAGACGCGAAAGCGUGGGGAGCAAACGGG
rnacentral:rRNA from 1 species